GAUGAACGCUGGCGGCGUGCCUAAUACAUGCAAGUCGAGCGAACGGACGAGAAGCUUGCUGCUCUGAUGUUAGCGGCGGACGGGUGAGUAACGCGUGGAUAACCUACCUAUAAGACUGGGAUAACUUCGGGAAACCGGAGCUAAUACCGGAUAAUAUUUUGAACCGCAUGGUUCAAAAGUGAAAGACGGUCUUGCUGUCACUUAUAGAUGGAUCCGCGCUGCAUUAGCUAGUUGGUAAGGUAAAGGCUUACCAAGGCAACGAUGCAUAGCCGACGUGAGAGAGUGGUCGGCCACACGAGAAGUGGAACACGGUCCAGGGUCCUGAGGGAGGCAGCAGUAGGGAAUCGUCCGCAGUGGUCGAAAGCCUGACGGAGCAGCGCGGCGUGAGUGAUGGAGGUCCUCGGAUCGUAAAACUCUGUUAUUAGGGAAAAACAUAUGUGUAAGUAACUGUGCACAUCGUGACGGUACCUAAUCAGAAAGCCACGGCUAACUACGUG
rnacentral:rRNA from 1 species